rnacentral:rRNA from 1 species
AUUGAAAUCGCUGUGAAGAUGCAGUGUACCCGCGGCUAGACGGAAAGACCCCGUGAACCUUUACUACAGCUUGGCACUGAACAUUGACCCUACAUGUGUAGGAUAGGUGGGAGGCUUUGAAGCAAGUACGCCAGUAUUUGUGGAGCCGUCCUUGAAAUACCACCCUUGUAGUGUUGAUGUUCUAACGUCGACCCCUUAUCGGGGUUGCGGACAGUGCCUGGUGGGUAGUUUGACUGGGGCGGUCUCCUCCCAAAGAGUAACGGAGGAGCACGAAGGUGGGCUAAUCACGGUUGGACAUCGUGAGGUUAGUGCAAUGGCAUAAGCCCGCUUGACUGCGAGAAUGACAAUUCGAGCAGGUGCGAAAGCAGGUCAUAGUGAUCCGGUGGUUCUGAAUGGAAGGGCCAUCGCUCAACGGAUAAAAGGUACUCCGGGGAUAACAGGCUGAUACCGCCCAAGAGUUCAUAUCGACGGCGGUGUUUGGCACCUCGAUGUCGGCUCAUCACAUCCUGGGGCUGAAGUCGGUCCCAAGGGUAUGGCUGUUCGCCAUUUAAAGUGGUACGCGAGCUGGGUUUAGAACGUCGUGAGACAGUUCGGUCCCUAUCUGCCGUGGGCGUUGGAAGAUUGAAGGGGGCUGCUCCUAGUACGAGAGGACCGGAGUGGACGAACCUCUGGUGUUCGGGUUGUGUCGCCAGACGCAUUGCCCGGUAGCUAAGUUCGGAAUCGAUAACCGCUGAAAGCA